GCAUAUUCUUAUUCCAAGCAAGCUCAUAGAGGAUCCAGAGAAAUGAAAACGCAUCAAACUGUAAGUUAUCAUGGCUGAAGCUGGUUAAAGCAGAUCUCCUGUACUUCAAUUACUCAAAAUGCUUCAUUUCUGCAGACUGCUUUAAUAAACGGAAGUACAUGCCAUAAGUCUACAGGAGGCAAUAGGUCAUUCUCCAUUGGAGAAGCUUCAAAACAGAUUGUUCCUUUUGGGAGAGGUAGAAGCUCAGAACAAAUUGGAGAUCUUUCCAUGGCACUGGCUUUUGCUCUUGAGAAUGGAGGAAAACUCAGAAGAAUGGAUUCGUCUGGCAAUAGUUCUGUGCUGGGUUUCCUGAAUCAGAUUGGCAGAAGAUCAGUGGACAUGGCCAAGAUAGAAAGAAGCAGCAUUGAUAGGCACAGCUCAGCAACUAGCCGCUUCCCUACCCUUUCUCAUCUCCAUAUCAAAGAAAUAUCUAAAGGGGCACAAAAAUUAAAUCAGAUCCUGAAAGCCUGUUCUAAUGGUGUUAACUUUGAUAGAUAUUCAAUAGAAAUUGGUAGGGAACUAUUGAAGGGAGCCAUGGAUUUAGAAGAGUCCCUUCGGAUGCUAGUAAACCUGCAAGAAGCUUCAGAGUACAUGAUCAGCCCACAAAGCAAAACUCGGAUCACGUUGCUUGAUGAUGAUGAAGAUGACAAUGAUAUCAUUGUCAAAACAGAUGAGAAUAAGCAACUUGCUCGGCCAAUCUUCUCCUUUGACAAGCCUUCAAGGAAUUCUCAUUACAUCCACGAAGCUGCAAGAACUGAUCUCAAGCAAAGGCUAAUGGCCCUGACUUACAAAUCAGAAACUACAAACUUCGGCCAUGAUAAUCACACUUUACGCACCUUAAAUUCUCAGAGGCGAUCAGCUAGCCACAACCCCAAUGUUAAAAAUCUAAUGGCAUUCUCAGAGCAUAAAAAGCAUUCAAGUCCAUCAAUAUUGAAACCAGAAAAUGGGAGAAUUCCAAAUGUAAUUGCAAAAUUAAUGGGGUUGGAGGAACUUCCAGAAAAUGAUGAUUCAAAGUAUAUCACAAAGAAAGAGUCCAGUUCCAAGGGAAAAACUGAGCGGAUAGUUGCAAAGAAAACUGCAGAGGUUACCCAUGAACGGAAGACAAAAGAUGCUGGGACUUUGGGGUCAGAUAUCAGAAAACAUAAACAGAUGCAACCCAACCAAAUUCAAUUGACCCAGGACACAACACAUAGCUUGCAUGCAGAAAGGAAUCUAGCAAGUCAACAUGCUAGCUUUGAAGGGACUUCUCAUCAUGGAAAAUUACUGCAGAAGGAUGUGGAAGGGAUAAAACCAAUGAGAAGCUCAAACAAGGUCAACAUGAAAAUAGGCAAGCAUCAGAGCAACAUUGACCAACCAAGCCAAAGAAUAGGAAGUCGCAAGGAUAUUCAGGAGAAAGAGAGGAAACAGGAUAAUCCUAAGCUGAGAGAACAGAAAGGCAAAGAAAAAGGAGAAACUAAGGUACUAAAGCAACAGCUACAGCAGAUGACACAUCAGACACUAAAUGGAUCUGAAGCUGCAAUUGUGCUGCAAGGGCAAGCAGAAUGCAAUUUGACGAUGCUUAAAACAGAAAUGAGAGAUGCACAUAUGCUGCUAUCCAACAAUCAAGCAAAGUCUGCCAACAAUCUUGCAUUCCAACAGCAGCAAAUGCUCCAAAAUUUUGAGUCAUUGGACAUAAAGCAUCACGCAGUAGAUAAUGAGCAUCAGAACAUUAAACAGAAGAUACAAGUGAGAAGGCAAAUAGGAAGUGAAUCCAGGAGCUUGCCAAAAAAGUAUCCACACACAAGCCAAGCAAUAACUAAUAAUGGAAGCUCCACAGAAUCAACUGGCACAAUGCAAUCCAUGGGAUUUCCAAAUAGGUGGCACCAUGGAGAUCUUGUCCAAGACAAAAAUUCUCCUAAUUUCAAUGUUACCAUGCAAGAUUCAAUGGACAAGAACUCAAAUCAAAAUAUGUCUCCAAGAAAUCUGAACUCUGAAGUAAUGAAAGAAAAAAAUAUAACCACCAUUCCACCAGUAAUGGAAGAGAAACCUGUUCAUCUAACAGCUGUGCAGAAAGUAAAAGUUACAAAAGUUCAAAAAGCUAUGGCUCCUCGAAAGAUUGAUGAACUACCGACAAGAAGAAGUGGAAAUCCUCACAACUUGGCAAGGCCACUGAAACAUCAGACUUCCAUGUUGCAAGAAGUGAAGCAGAAAAGGCAUAACAGACUUGGUCAAUCCAAGGAAGAAGAGCGAGUCAGAUCCAACAGGUCCAAAGAAGCAGAGGCAGGCAUUAAAAAAUCCAACAAAUCAGUAUCAAGCACACGACAACCAAACAUGGUGGAAGAACUACAAAGUCAACCUGAACAAGCUUCCAACUUGUGCAUUCCUCCUACAGAUGAUGAAUGCCAAAGCCUAAAAGGACCAGAAAUCCUAGCUCCAAAUGAAAAUGUAAGCUUGUUCAUUACUCUGAAGUAGUGAGCUAAUGAAGGCUCUUUUUGGUGUUGCACAGUCAUCAUCGGUGAUAAAUGAUCAACAAGGUUAUGACCCUGAUUUUGGCAUAGGCAAACACAAAUCUCAUAGCAUUGUAUUGGAUCCACUUAAUCGUAAGUAUCAUAGUACAUUGUUUUAUUUCACUUCUCAGAGCCCUACAGAAUUGUUGAUUAAGAACUGAGUUGGUGAUCACUCAGUCAACAUGUCCCAGUUCAUUUACUACAUCCAAUUUUCCCAUGUAUAUUUGACAAUUUAUUUGGGCUAAAGACCAAAUAGUAUCAGUAAGCGCUUCCAAAAUAAAGGCUUCUAAUGUCAAAGGUCAUUAUUGGAUUUUUGCAGGAACUCAUGAAGGCAAGAUAGUUAUAAGUUACCCCCAACAAUUGGAGAAUCAAAAAGUAUCUGAAUUGGAAACUCUAGAGCCGCUAACAGAAAGUGAAAAUCACCUCAAGCAUAUCCUGAUAAAAAGUCAACUAUUUCUUAAUACAGCAGAAGCACUUUUCAAACUCAAUAUUCCUCCUGACAUUCUUCAUGCUGGUGGUCAUGAUUGUCAUGAUGAAGAGAGCAAGCUCAUAUUAGACUGUGGCUAUGAAGUAAUGAAAAGAAAAGGGAAAAGGCAAGAGCUCGAUGUUCAUCCUUUCAUGAGGAUUUCUAUCACUUCUCUUAAGAUAAGAUCCUUGUAUGACUUGAUUAAGCAGUUGCAUAAAGAUUUUGAGAAGUUAAAAUAUAAAGCGGAAUGCAUUAUUGAAGAUUACCUCCCCAAAAUGCUCGAGCUUGAUGUCUACAACAGGGAUCUAGAUGUGAAUUGUAUGUGGGACUUCGGCUGGCAUGAGAUGAUGUUCACAUUUCUCGAAAAAGAUGAUGUUAUAAGGGAUGUGGAGAGGCAUGUGCUCAAUGCACUCCUUGAUGAGGUUACCAGAGAUCUGCUAGUAUUUUCAUUAUAUUGAAGAAUAAUAACUAGUAAUAUAUAUAAAGAAAGUUGGCUUUCCAAUGUAUAUAUAAACAAGAAUUUUGUGUGGCUUAUUUGGCGUUCAUCCAAGGCAACUUGAAUUGUACUUCUUAUUUUUUGCUCAAUUGUAAUGCUUACCAUAGAUAUUCUGCUUGUGUAUAAGUGAAGUUCAAUCAUAUGAUUGUCCAAACUAGUUAUUCAUCUAUUUUUCCACCCAAUUUUAAAAGCA
rnacentral:misc_RNA from 1 species